CAGCCGCCGCGGUAAAACGGAGGGUGCAAGCGUUAAUCGGAAUUACUGGGCGUAAAGCGUGCGUAGGCGGUUCGUUAAGUCUGUUGUGAAAGCCCCGGGCUCAACCUGGGAAUGGCAAUGGAUACUGGCGAGCUAGAGUGUGUCAGAGGAUGGUGGAAUUCCCGGUGUAGCGGUGAAAUGCGUAGAGAUCGGGAGGAACAUCAGUGGCGAAGACGGCCAUCUGGGACAACACUGACGCUGAGGCACGAAAGCGUGGGGAGCAAACAGGAUUAGAUACCCCUGUAGUCCCUGUCUCUUAUAC
rnacentral:rRNA from 1 species